CCCUUAGAUGUUCUGGGCCGCACGCGCGCUACACUGACGAUGGCAACGAGUUUUUCCUUCGCCGAAAGGUGUGGGUAAUCUUUUGAAACAUCGUCGUGCUGGGGAUAGAUCAUUGCAAUUUUUGAUCUUGAACGAGGAAUUCCUAGUAAACGCGAGUCAUCAGCUCGCAUUGAUUACGUCCCUGCCCUUUGUACACACCGCCCGUCGCACCUACCGAUUGAAUGUUUCGGUGAAGAUUCCGGAUAGGACUGAUUUGAUUUAUUUCAUUUCUGACCUAAAAGCUAUCUAAACCUCAACAUUUAGAGGAAGGUGAAGUCGUAACA
rnacentral:rRNA from 1 species